UGGUCUCCAAUCUCCUCAUCAAAGCUCCACUUCUUUUCAUAGGUUUGGCUCCUAUCUGGAACGCACACCGGUCCCCAUGGCAUUGUCUGGCACAGGUACGCUGGUGGCUUCUAUUGCCUCCAAGGUGGCAUCUUCAGUGGCCGUGGUCAAAGCCGGAGGGGCGGUAUCCAGCACCAUCCUAGCUAGCUCACAGGGGCUCAACUUGUUAGCCCAGACUGCACUGGGCUCUGGAGCUUCUGCACUUGGAUCUGCAUUGGGAGCACUGAAGGCUGGCACCGUUUUAUCCAGCCUCCCUGCCUCCGCCUUGGCUGUUUGCCCCAUUGGAGUCAAGACUGCUGUCGCCAUGCUUGGGGGAGCCAUGACAGUAGCUGCGGUUCCACCUGUGCUGAGUGCCGUGGGCUUCAC
rnacentral:lncRNA from 1 species